UACGAAGGGGGCUAGCGUUGCUCGGAAUUACUGGGCGUAAAGCGCACGUAGGCGGUCUUUUAAGUCGGGGGUGAAAUCCUGGAGCUCAACUCCAGAACUGCCUUCGAUACUGGAAGACUCGAGUCCGGGAGAGGUGAGUGGAACUGCGAGUGUAGAGGUGAAAUUCGUAGAUAUUCGGAAGAACACCAGUGGCGAAGGCGGCUCACUGGCCCGGUUCUGACGCUGAGGUGCGAAAGCGUGGGGAGCAAACAGG
rnacentral:rRNA from 1 species